rnacentral:lncRNA from 1 species
UAAAUAGGCACUCAAAACAAGUACAUGUUCGAGAAUCAUUAAACAACUCCUUAUCAAUCUCGACUUCUUUCAAUAUGAACAACAAUUCAACCGAUUUAACUGACUAGUAUAUAACAAGUAUGGAACAAAGAAAUAUAUUGGUACUAGAUUUACCUAAUGUCUUUCUAUUUAUACAACAGGAAUCCAAACAGAAUUGAAGGAAAAUGAAUGUGACAAGACAGAACAAAAGUUUAUUUGAAUUCCAAGUUUUAAUAGAAAUUUUUUAUUGACGAGCUACAACAAUUGCACCUAUUAAAGCAACUAAAAGGAUUAUUGAAAUCAGUUUAAAUA